GAUCCUUUAGGCUAAUCAAGGUCUAGGCCUAGUGGGUGUGUAGUCAGGAGGCCAAGCAAGUCAAAGAGUAAGAUCACAAAAGUCUCACCAGUCGACCUAUUAUUCAUUUCGAUAUGGCUGAAGGGUUCGCAGCAGAUUCAGAAUUGUCUGAUAUCAUCAGCAAGCUAUGGGACAUGGACGACAACAAAUGUUAUCCUGGGACAGACUAUGAGCUUUACCUUCAAGGCUAUGUGAACAACCCAAGAGAAGUGGGCCGUGAUUAUGCUCGUCAUAAUCUGUUUGACUGGCUGGAUGAAGAGCAAGUGUUCAGCCGCCCCACUUACAAAGCUUUCAGGGCCCUCUUGGACAACUACGAGAUGGAUUUGUCAGAGGAGGAGGAAGUGACUUGGGAAGAGCGACAGGAGAACUACGACUUUCUCACAGCCAUCAUGGACACUGCGGUGAUGAAAGAAGCCCAUCAGUUUCUGGUUUCUAAAGAAGUUGCUCCUGAAGAUGAGGAGGAGUUCAAGAAGAUGCUCCACGACAUUUGGUUUCGUCUCUUCAAGAGAAAGGGUGGCAGGGGAAACAAUUCCUGCAGCUUUGAGCAUGUGUUUGUUGGUGAAGGCAGAGGGGAUGACAUGAUCGGCCUGCACAAUUGGAUACAGUUCUAUCUCCAGGAAAAAGCUGGAAACAUUGACUACCAUGGCUUUUUCAGAAGAGAAACUGUACGAGAUGAUGAAAUCCUGCGCCUUAUGGCUGUGCAGUUCACAUGGAAGGGCAUUAUGGGAAAGCCUAUGUGCAGCGUCUUCGUGGGCUCCAGUCCAGAAUUUGAGAUUGCAGCUUACACCAUCAGCUUGCUUCUGGAUCGUGACGGCAAGAUGGAUGUUCAGCUGGGUGAAUAUGAGGUGGAGCUGGUCGUUCACAGCUUUGGCUGGAAGAAGAAGCUUGGCACAGCGUACCUAGCGGCUGCACGUAUGGACCAGUACGCUAAAAAGAAAGGAUGGUAGAGACAGAAUGACAGUGAAACAAAGAGUGCCCCCCCCCCCCCACAACCCUCUAUCCUCCUCCCCCUCAUGCUACAUACAAACCAUCCAUCAGACGUUGAUAGGAAAUAAUGCUUAUCACAGACGUUUGGAAGGGUUGAUACGAGAUAAUGCUUAUCACAGACGUAUGGAAGGGAUGAUACGAAAUAAUGCUUAUCACAGACGUUUGGAAGGGAUGAUACGAAAUAAUGCUUAUCACAGACGUUUGGAAGGGAUGAUACGAAAUAAUGCUUAUCACAGACGUUUGGAAGGGAUGAUAUGAAAUAAUGCUUAUUACAGAUGUAUGGAAGGGAUGAUACGAAAUAAUGCUUAUCACAGACGUUUGGAAGGGAUGAUAUGAAAUAAUGCUUAUCACAGAUGUAUGGAAGGGUUGAUAUGAAUUAAUGCUUAUCACAGAGAGGGGGGUGGGGGAGGGAUUUUUAGUUUGCCACUUUGAAAAGACUUACUCCUGAGUGUUAUAGAAAUUGCCAUUUUAAGUUGGACAAAAGCACUUUUUGUAUCAGUCUGAUAUACUUACUUCUCACCAUGUUUUUUGAGUUUCUGGGAUUCUCUAUGGAUUUCAGUGAAAUUUAUUUUGUCCUCAGUAUAUUUUGUACCUGUUGUCUAUAUAGUAACCGGUGGUGAUUCCAAUGUUAAGAGGGAGACCCCUUCUGGUUGCAGUUUGUUAACUUUUUAGUUUGUUGUUGUUUUGUUUUUUGUUAUUGAAACCUGUACUACAAUUUGUUACCUAGGGUUUUCUACACAGCAAAACGUUUUGUUCUGGUUGCUGUCAUAAUCUACUGCAUGCCAUUUCUAUUUUUGUUAUAAGUUAUAAGAAUACUGGUACUGUGUAGAUGUGCAAAAGAUGAGGACACACUGAAAGAAUCUUCAGUAGUAUGCUCUGAGAUUCUUAGUAAUGUGUAGAAAAAAAGAUACUGGUAUGCCAAAAUUCAGAUCAAAUACAUGAGAAACUAGUACCGUAUGGAAAUGUCAUUUUGUAAUUUUUAUUAUUUCUUUCUUGUAGUUAUUACUCUCGCAUUCUUCCAAAAAGUAACCAUGAAAAGUAAUUGUUGUAUUUGCUGGAAUUGCUACCGAUAGCAUCGCUGGCAAGUUGCAAGUUGCUCAGCUUAUCAAUUUCACAUGGGUGAUGGAUGAGAUUGAAAUCCUUUUUGAGGUGAUAUCGUUUUCAUUUGAGAGAAUUGUUGAUAUCAUAGAAACUAUUCCUAGUGUUGACAAAGUGACUUGCUUCCUGUGUAACUCCAACAAGAGACAUGUCUUUAGAGAGUGUAACAUGACACUGUUAUCUCGUUGAAGCUGUUACAUUUCAUUGACAACCUGGAUAAAAACAGUUUUUAAUGGCCCAAUAAUUCACAAAUUAUGAAGAAUAUUCUUUGUUACUUUUUGUCUGUAGUUCUCAAGAGCAUGUUUUGUUUUAGUGGCUGUGGUUUCAAUAGCGCUGACAAUGCUCUUCAACCUAGCACUGAACAACAAGGCCUUUUAUUGUUCCUUUUUCAGUUUCCUAUUUUGACUUUGAGGUUUGUCUUCUUGUUAUCACGCUGGUUGCCUGCGUUCCUUACGGGUUUUGUUCUGUUUGUUUUUCUCUUUGAAAAACUUUGAAAGUAUUUGAUUAAUGCUCAUUCAUUUGUUGAACUGAUUAUUUGAGGCUGAUCAAGCUAAGUGUUGCUUUGUUCUCCCAGCUUUUGCGCUGUGUUUCCUCAAGUAGUUCUUCUGUCUUUGGAGGAAGCUUUGGUUUUCACCCUUUGUACACAAGCUACACAGCAAAGAAUAAGUGUGUAGAUUGCAGCUAUGAGCACAGUAUUUCUUUCUUAUUUCAACCGUAAUAAGAUGUCUUUUUUUUCUUUAAGAUUUGCUACUGCAGAUUAUUUUUUGAUAUAGAUUUUAUUCAUCUUAAUAUCAAACUCAACUUUUCUCCUGCUUUAAUUAGGACCUUUGGCCUGCAGGAAAUGGUUUGGGUUUGGGUUUUUUAAUAGUUCAUAUUGUAACCAAAUGCAAAAGGAGCUUUAAUUCAAAACAAAUUUAUUAUUGUUUAGAAAAUGACCACCUUCCUUUAUCUCACUUCUAAAACUCCUUUCAAUGCAUCUCGUUGAGUUGAGCAGGGAAAAUUUCCUUCUGUUGAUUUUUGCUGUUGUGGAACUGUUUUAUAUGAGUUUUUUGUUUUUGUAGAUUCCCACAGACUCUGUUUCUGUCUCCCUGUUCCCCAGAACAGUGCUAGCGUCGUUGCCUUGUACUUUAGCGUAACUCACAAAUUAUCAUGCUCUAUCUUAUGCAGUUCUUCUCACGUUCACCCAGUAAUUAAUUCUUGCUCGUUAUCUAAGCACAUUAAACAUGUACAUUGUGAGCAGUGACAAGUUCUAGGGUUAUUUUGUCUCUGAUUUGUGUUGGUAUUUCUUGACAUGGAUGUCGUGAUGGUGGUAUUUCUUGACAUGAAUGUCGUCUCAAAAGUUUUCCCUCAGCUAGACUCUGGUUCUGUUCGCUGAUGAACUUUGCCAAUACAGAGAGGGUAAUUACUUGGCCAAUACAGAGAGGGUAAUUACUUGGCCAAUACGUACAGGUUAAUUACUUGGCCCAUACAUAGAGAAUGAUAGAGAGGUUAAUUGUUCAAAUCCAAAUGUAGAAUUUUCGUGUCAUUCUAGAAAUGUUUUUGUCUCAGAUGGGUGUUUUGAUGGUGAUUAACUAUUGUGUCUUUGAACUAACAUCCCAGAAAUUGUUGUUGAUAGAUCAUAGAGUGUUUUCCCAGUGGAUAGGUGGUCCUGUCACUGAAGGUGCUAUACUGACAGGGCUACCACUCAUCUGUUAUAUUUGUGGAACAAUAAUGUGAAGAGUGCUUACAAUGACCUUGGUUAUGACCAGUGGUGCCUAGAUGCUUCUGAUGUAUGUUAUAUAAUUUUGCUAAUGUUGCAUUGUCCAGGCCAUAUAGACCAACAUUAUUAUUAGGACUUGUUUAAACAUUAUUAGGUCUUUUCUUUUAACUGAUCAAAUGCACAGAUGGACUGAAUUUUUCAGACUUUUAGUCUUCAGCACCGUAUCUUUGUGUUUCUUCAUGUAUGAUCAGAAGCUUACUUAUUGUUUUGGAACAAAACCGUUUUUAGUUUAGCAUUUAUUAGUUAUGACAAUACUCUAAUUUUAGUGCCUCCUAGUCAGAGUUGUAGAGUGGCAUUAUUUAUUUUUUCAGCUGCUGAUUUGUCCUGUUUCCGAUGAGAAUUUGUAACAAUUGUAUAUGUCGAUCAUGAUCGGACAUGAAACAUGUGGUUCAGUUUCUCUGCAGAGGUUGCUUUAUAAUGGGGGGGAAUGUUUUUCUUAUUGAGCGAAUUGACGAGUCUACUUGUUAUGUAACCCAGCUGUAUGUGAAGAAAACUUGCAAUGCAAUUUUACCUUUUGACAUAUGUGCUCUCAAACCCUGGAUUGUUUUAUUACCACUAGUGGGACCUAUAUGGCUACAGGUUGGUUCACAGAACACUGGCUUGAAAUUGAAAGAACUAUUUGUAAUUCAACUCGUAGAUUUUCUAUAUUUUGUGACAACUACUAGGGAUGCAGACUAUUAGUAAAAAUCUAGAGGUUUAUAAAAGGCAAACAAGUCAUUUUGAUCAGCUGUGUAUAGUCACAUGGACUUGUGUAUUUCUGUUGUCGUCAAGACAUGCUGUGAUUCUGUUCCUUCACUUGCACAAAUUCACUUUGAUUUUUGUCUGAAAGUGACAAUCUGUGUUAUCAGGAGACUUGUUCUGUGGUUGAGAGUCCUAUUUUAGGGAUAUUUUCCACACUGCCUAGGGAUAAAGCAAGGCUUAAAGACCAUCAGUGAUUUCCAGCUUUGAAGAGUGUUUCUUGUAGCACGCUUAGUAAAGCAAACUAAACAGAAACUGGUGGUAAGUUCUUUCAAUUUGCAAUGUUAUGAGAUGAACGGCUAAUGAAGGCAUAAGUUCUCGAAAUAAAAGCUGUUGAGAACAAAAUAAGAUUUCUGCUGCCAUACCAGUUUUUGCUUUAUGAACAGGACUUUGGUGAAGAAUAUGAACAGGACUUUGGUGAAGAAUAUGAACAGGAAUUUUGUGAAGAAUAUGAACAGGACUUUGGUGACGAAUAUGAACAGGACUUUGGUGAAGAAUAUGAACAGGACUUUGGUGAAGAAUAUGAACAGGACUUUUGUGAAGAAUAUGAACAGGACUUUGGUGAAGAAUAUGAACAGGACUUUUGUGAAGAAUAUGAACAGGACUUUGGUGACGAAAAGUUUGUCUGAGAUAGGACAAUGGUUGUACAUGAACGUUUUAUUGUGGCCCAUUUAUACCCUACUUUGUCAUUUGUUUUGUUCUCAAACAGUUUAGCUGUUCGGGUCUCUGUGUGGUAUGUGGGAAUUGACAAACGGCUCUCUGCCACAACUUUCAUCUCUCUAUCUCGACAAUACGCAACUUGUGUCAUUCAUCUCUCUAUCUCGACAAUACGCAACUUGUGUCAUUCAUCUCUCUAUCUCGACAAUACGCAACUUGUGUCAUGAUUUUGGUGAGCCAUCAGCGGGGUGGGGGGGGUGGGGGGGGGUUGUUCUUUAUAUGGGAACUGUUGUCCUUGAUGUCACACUGCAGCACAGCUCCAUUGUUCUUGUAUUUACACCUGGAAACUAGGGAAAGUAAAAUGUGCAAUGGCUUUGACUGAUGUGCAGCUGUAUCGGUACAGGGAGGGUUGUUGUAGUUGUUGUAGGGUGCUACCAAUACAGAUCUUACUUCCUUUCUUUCCAUUUGUUGUUACAGGGAGGGUUGUUGUAGUUGUUGUAGGGUGCUACCAAUACAGAUCUUACUUCCUUUCUUCCCAUUUGUUGUUUCUGUCUAUCUUGCUUUUUUCCUAGUACUAAAUAGCCGUUAUCUUUUCUACAUUAUGUUUGUCUUAACUCAAGCCCACCAUUAUGAGCCGAAAAGUGGCUACACAAGUGGUGGUGCAAAAGAUUGACAAGCUUUUGUUUUAUUGUUACCUGAACUUCUACUGAAUUCAAUGCUCACUAUUUAUUCCAUUCAAAGAGAGAUACUAAUCAUCUUGCCGGUUAAUGCUUGCCAUUAGCUCAUGUCGAAGUAACAUGCAGGAAACCAGAAUCCAGGUCUGUUUCUACACUUGCAUAUUUACCAAUGGCUCAACGCCCUUUCUUGUGACAAGGAACAUUAAUUCAGAGGUCUUACUGUUACCUCUAUAGGACAUUAAUUCAGAGGUCUUACUGUUACCUCUAUAGGACAUUAAUUCAGAGGUCUUACUGUUACCUCUCUAGGAACAACAGGCAUGUUUGUCAGGAUGUGGAAACCUUAGUCUUGCCUUCUUGUGCGUGGCGUCUGUGGCCUAGUGGUUAGGCUGCUGGACUCGUAAUCAUGAGAUUGCGGAUCCUGAGGUUUGAGUGUCAGCUCGGUCUGACGUUGUGUCCUUGGGAAAGGCACCUUAAACGAUUUUCUCGAUUGGCGUGGUCCUUUCGGAGAUGGAUAUUAAACUCGGAGGUCACGUCUCUUAAAUAACCUACUAGUGUUAUAGGGUCGUUAAACCUGUACCAUUUCACCAAUUCUGCUUGUGCGGAUAAAGAGAUAAUAUCUCAUAUUAUGUCAUUUUGGUGACUUGACUUUCUCUCUGUAGUUUGUAGAUAGAAGGUGAAAAUGGUUGUGUCAAUUGCUGUUGGUUUGUUUCUGAAAUUCUCUUUAUGAUUUGACAAAUCAUCAAAGGCCUUGAGAUCAUUGACAGUGUGAGCAUGGUGCUGUGACUUUUUAGAAUUCAGACUGUUUUAUUACUGUACCGUAUUUAAGCUAUGUUGUAAUUUUUGUUUUGUUCUUUUUUGUUGAUAUAAAAAUGGAAAACUUACACUUGACAGUCAGGUAUCUUGCCCCACCGUACACACUUGUCAGUCGUUCUACCAGUACACACUUGUCAGUCGUUCUACCAGUACACACUUGUCAGUCGUUCUACCAGUACACACUUGUCAGUCGUUCUACCGGUACACACUUGUCAGUCGUUCUACCAAUAGAAUCAAUAAAAGAUAGAAGGUAUUUAGUCUCUAGAUGUUCAAAUGUUGUCUUUAUUUAAUCAAAUGUUGUUUUUAUUUGUGUUGUCAUUUCUGCAGUCUGAUGAUCUCAGCAGUACGGAUACCAGUCAGACCAAUAUCAUUUCAUGUCCACCCCUGUCUAGUACUCGUCCUCUCUGUCCUUCUUAUGUCAUUUGAAGGUCGUACUUCUUGACUUCCCCCUUGAAACUUCUGCCUGUCCUUUAUCCAAGCAUGAAACAGUGUUUGUAAUGUUCAUUGGACCCAAUGUUCAUAUACUCCUCUCACAUUUAGACUCAUCCUCAUCCCAAAACUCCUCUCACAUUGAGACUCAUCCUCCUCCCAAAACUCCUCUCACACUGAGACUCAUCCUCCUCCCAAAACUCCUCUCACACUGAGACUCAUCCUCCUCCCAAAACUCCUCUCACACUGAGACUCAUCCUCCUCUCAAAACUUUCCUUCUGUCUCUUUCAUUAUCUGAAUUAUCUUUACCAAAAAAGAAAACAGACCUUACAUUGUUUCAAAGUACCUUUGGCAGGCUUAUCACUGCAUUAUCAUUACAUAAAUUGGUGGGGGGGUUAUGUCAUGUUUUUUCUAAUUUUUUAAUGCAUGAAAAGUUCUGCUCGAAAUGAUAAUGUUAUUAACGGUACGUCCAAAAGUCAAAUGUCAAAAUAUGGUGAUCAUAUAAUAUUUAACUAACUCAGCCCUUUAGAAUUGCUGAGAUUGGAGUCCAAAGUUAUGUGGAAAUUACCAGAUGUCAGUAAACUCGAUUUUCUGAUGUUUGUCAAAACAUCUCUACUGUAGGUUUAGAUAUUUGAUAUUGUGCUUUGUAUAGGGUAUCUUGUACUGAUCUUAUUGAUUGUUACUGCAUACAUUUUUAAAAAAAUUUUAUUUUAACUGUUGAUGUUUUCUCCAUUUUGAAAGUACCGGUAAGUGACAUGUUUUCUGACUAUACUCCAUCCAAGCUUCUUCUACUUUUUUAUUCUGUUCCCCCUUCUGUGGUAAUCCAUAAAUUCUCUUUACUCUUGAGAACAGUUUCUUAUGUUAAGUUAUUCAUCUGGUUUUGUUUUUGUUUUGUUUGGGGGGGGGGAGGGGGGGGUUGGUUCUAUUCCAAUUCAAACCUCUUCAUUCACCCUUGAAAAAACCUUUCUUGUUUGUUUUGAAGCGCUGAAUUACUUUUUGCAGAUUUGAACUGCCCUCUGUUUCCCUUUGCUUUGUUGUGUCCCUUUGUAUGACGGAAAUUCCUCAAGGUGUGAGGAGGGGGUUGUUUUUCUUUCUCAUACAAAAGUGCUUCAUUCACCCUUUGAAAAACCAUUCGCAAUAUUUACAAUCACUUUUUUAGUUUUAACUGAUCAUAACUGCAUCCUGAUCCAUUGUUCAUAACUGCAUCAUGAUCCAUUGUUCAUAACUGCAUCAUGAUCCAUUGUUCAUAACUGCAUCAUGAUCCAUUGUUAGCUCUUUAGAAUGCGACUUUUUUGUGCGCACUAGACCCUGUAAUUCAGCUGAUGUUGAUAAAUCUUUAUGCCAUAUUUGUGUUUGUCCUGAGUCUUUAAAUUUCUGUUUGCUCUGGUACCGGUUUGCUUGUUAUUGUAUAGUCUUAAGUUGCUUAGAGAAGACGGUUGAUAUUUUUGUUGGUUUGUAUUGCCAUUUGUUGCUAUUGGAACAGAAUUGCUGUGAAGCCUGGUCAGAAGAUGUGUUUCUAGUGGCUGCUGUUUUUGUCUUCAGUUCCUAAUCAUCUUGUCCCCUUUUUAUAAUUUACAGCAUGCCCUUUGCUUUGGUGCAAUUAUAUUAUACGUCACGUAAUCAUAUUAUACACGCUGCAUAUGCUUAGCAGUAGAUCUGAUUUGUUGUUCUUGUUUGUUCUUCUUCAAUAAACAAUUUCAAGAAAAAAC
rnacentral:misc_RNA from 1 species